rnacentral:lncRNA from 1 species
UGGAGGGGGCACCAUGAGACAACAAGAAGUGCGUUACGUAGACUAGCAGUAGCUUCCAAGAGUCAUUCCUCUUAAACAGCAAUAGCCUUGGCUUCAGCACCAACAAUAGCAUCAAAUCUAGCCCCAGUAAUAGCUAUAGCAUUAGAUCCAGUCCCACUAGCAGUAGUUGCAUCUGCACCACCAACAACAAUAUCAGCACUAGUAUCAGCAGC